rnacentral:rRNA from 1 species
GACGAACGCUGGCGGCGUGCUUAACACAUGCAAGUCGAACGGUAAGGCCCCAGCUUGCUGGGGUACACGAGUGGCGAACGGGUGAGUAACACGCGGGUGUCCUGCCCCGCACUUCGGGAUAAGCCUGGGAAACUGGGUCUAAUACCGGAUACGACCGCUCCGUGAGGGUGGGGUGGAAAGUUUUUCGGUGUGGGAUGGGCCCGCGGCCUAUCAGCUCGUUGGUGGGGUAAUGGCCUACCAAGGCGGCGACGGGUAGCCGGCCUGAGAGGGUGGACGGCCACAUUGGGACUGAGACACGGCCCAGACUCCUACGGGAGGCAGCAGUGGGGAAUAUUGCACAAUGGGCGGAAGCCUGAUGCAGCGACGCCGCGUGGGGGAUGACGGCCUUCGGGUUGUAAACUCCUUUCACCAUCGACGAAGGUUUUCUGACGGUAGAUGGAGAAGAAGCACCGGCUAACUACGUG